UGAUUGAGUUUGAUCCUGGCUCAGAAUCAACGCUGGCGGCGUGCCUCAUACAUGCAAGUCGAACGCGAACGCGGCCUUCGGGCCGCAAGUAGAGUGGCAGACGGGUGAGUAACGCGUGGGUGACCUGCCUUCGAGUGGGGGAUAACCUUCCGAAAGGAGGGCUAAUACCGCAUAACAUCCCGCCCUUGGAUGGGUGGUGAUCAAAGCCGGGGAUCUUCGGACCUGGCGCUUGAAGAGGGACCCGCGUCCGAUUAGCUUGUUGGUGAGGUAGCGGCUCACUAAGGCGACGAUCGGUAGCCGGCCUGAGAGGGCGGACGGCCACACUGGGACUGAGACACGGUCCAGACCUUUACGGGGGGCAGCAGUCGGGAAUUGUUCGCAAUGGGCGCAAGCCUGACGACGCAACGCCGCGUGGAGGACGAAGAUCUUCGGGUCGUAAACUCCUGUCGAGCGGGAA
rnacentral:rRNA from 1 species